AAUAUUGGACAAUGGGGGCAACCCUGAUGCAGCCAUGCCGCGUGUGUGAAGAAGGUCAUCGGAUUGUAAAUCAGUUUAUGGCGGGAGGAAGGGCUUUAGGUUAAUACCCUGAAGUCUUGAUGUUACCAACAGAAGAAGCACCGGCUAACUCUGUGCCAGCAGCCGCGGUAAUACAGAGGGUGCAAGAGUUAAUCGGAAUUACUGGGCGUAAAGCGCGCGUAGGUGGUUCAGUAAGAUGGGUGUGAAAUCCCCGGGCUUAACCUGGGAACUGCUUUCAUAACUGCUGAGCUAGAGUACGGUAGAGGGUAGUGGAAUUUCCUGUGUAGCGGUGAAAUGCGUAGAUAUAGGAAGGAACGCCAGUGGCGAAGGCGACUACCUGGACUGAUACUGACACUGAGGUGCGAAAGCGUGGGGAGCAAAC
rnacentral:rRNA from 1 species